rnacentral:snRNA from 1 species
AUCGCUUCUCGGCCUUUUGGCUAAGAUCAAGUGUAGUAUCUGUUCUUAUCAGUUUAAUAUCUGAUACGUCCUCUAUCCGAGGACAAUAUAUUAAAUGGAUUUUUGGAGCUGGGAGUCGGAAUAGGAGCUUGCUCUGUCCGCUCCACGCAUCGACCUGGUAUUGCAGUAUCUCCAGGAACGGUGCACUUCCC